rnacentral:rRNA from 1 species
CACAUCAUGAAAGCCGAUUGCACCCGAAGUCGCUGAUCCGACCCGCAAGGGAGGCAGGUGCCGAAGGUGUGAUUGGUGAUUGGGAUG